rnacentral:antisense_RNA from 1 species
CGUAGCGGUAGGACGGGAGAGGGACACCUUCGGGUGUGCUGGCGUCUAACCAGUCUGUCAACCUUCUCUCGUUCUGCCACCAUA